rnacentral:siRNA from 1 species
UCAAAGUUCAUGCCUUUUCCA